rnacentral:lncRNA from 1 species
ACCUUAGAGUUUUAUAUUUAAAAAAACACCUGCUAGGAAGAAUUCUUUGGAGCUCAAAGUGGCUCAGCUUAAGGGAGAAGGCACAGUUGCACUGCAUCGACGCACAAAAGUCUGCGUUUGUGGUGUGUGUGGGGACAAUAGAAAAAUCGACAGCACCAUUCCAUGGGUCGGUGGUGGAGGAAGGAAGGAAGCAGCGGUCCCGCUGGGCCUCCGGAGAAGGGAGGACAGAAGUCUGUGUCGAGGAGUGGAGCCCACACGGCUCAGUGGGGAGAGGAGGCUGGACCCCAUCACCAAGACCACCAGGAGCGUCGGGCCUCCGUCAUCAGCUGACCAUGGGCUCCACAUCCGCCUCCCGCUCCAGGUCUUCCUGGAUUUCGUCUGUACUUCCUGAGUCACUGCUGGCCACGGAGCUGGGGGACGGUGAAUUCCUGCAUUAGAAACCAAAGCCUUUCAGAGAGCAGCCUGGGGGACCCUAACGGCCCAGGGCCCGGAGCUCUGGCCGGUCACACCUGUUAAAAAACCUACCCGAAGGGUCUGGGGUGAGCAAAACUUUUGCCUAGUAUGCACAAGGCUCUGGGUUCCACUCUCAGCAACAACACAGUGGCGGCUACCCUGAGGGGCUCCUGCUGUGAGAUCCCUGCAAGGCGCACUUUCUCCCAGUCCCUGUAGGUUCCAUAAGCUGCCUAGGGCUCUUGGCAUUCCUUGGGACCUCUACCCUAGCCACUGCUUACUGUAGCGUGUGGCUUCUCUUUGGGAGUGGGGGGUGGGGUGGUCGUGGGUAUUCAUUCUGUAACUUUCCAUCAUCCCUGGUCUGAGCACAAAGUGGUGCCCUCUGAAAACCCCAGGUAACAAAGCGAUGCCCACUGAAAACCCCAGGUAACUGGGAAGAAGGAACCUCAGAUAAGAAAACGCCUCCACCCACCGAGCAUGGUGGCGCACGCCUUUAAUCCCAGCACUUGGGAGGCAGAGGCAGGCAGAUUUCUGAGUCUGAGGCCAGCCUGGUCUACAAAGUGAGCUCCAGGACAGUCAGGGCUAUACAGAGAAAUCCUGCCUCGAAAAACAGAAAAGAAAAGAAAAAAGAAAGAAAAGAAAAGGCCUCCAUCAGACUGGCCUUCAGUCGUAAUUAAUGAUUGGCGUCAGAUCUCAGCCCGCUGCGGGUGAUGCCACCCCUGGACAGGUGGUCCGUGGUCCUCGAUGCUAUACAAAAGCAGGCUGAGCAAGCCAUGGAAAGCAAAAUGGUAAACAGCUGCCCUCCAUGACCUCUGCACCAUUUCCUGGUUCCAGCUUCCUUCCCUGACUUCCCUCAACAACGGACUACGAUGUGGAAGUCUAAGCCAAGUAAGCCCUUUCCUUCCCAACUGCUUUCCGUCAUAGUGUUCAUCACAGCAACAGAACACUAACUCAGACGCUCUAGCACACAGCGGGCCUUUGACAACUCUCUGUUGAACCGAUCGAUCGUGAUGGUGGUGGUAUUAUUUGUUUUGUUUUGUCUAUACAUUAGUCACCUAGCACAUAGUAGGUAUGCUCGUGAUGGGGGCUUGGGGGGAGGUGGAUGGAUAGGAGGUCAGACAGAGGGUCGGAAAAAUUAAAAUGUAGUGAAGCUGCACGAGGCAGCCCCGAAUGUCUCUCUGUAAAGCCCCCACCCACCAUGGAAGCCCUGGGGCGCAUGCCUAUGCGCAUGCGCACAGCCGCACCUGUCUGCAGAGCCUUUGAUGAGCCGACGGCAGGUCUCCAUCUGCACGUCCAGGCCUCGCUUCAUGCUGCACAUUUCCAUAUACUCAUGAAGGUGUCGGUUCAUGUCGCUCUUGGCUGUGGCCAGCUCCAGCUGGAAGGAGACAUUGUCGAAUAAAGGUGAUGAGGAGGGACCGCUCACCUCAGGUUACUGCCCGCAGCAACCUCCCUCCUCUAUCCCUUGGUGGCGGCGCCAUCUAGGCUUUGCCUUGUGCUAUCAACCUUCCUUAUUCUCUGCACACCAGUCAAUAUUCUUUAGACUUGCUUCUGAACAAAGUGGGUAUGGUUGCUUAGCAACCCCAGAGAGGUUUGUCCAACUAAGCCCCAACUGAUUCCGGGGACUUCCGUGUGCUCAGCAUCUCUGGAGAACUUGCCUGUUCCCCAGAAAAGGAAACUGUUCAUGUCUCUGAGCCUGUACUGUGACAGCUAGAGGGAGGAGGGAGGACUCUGGACUUAUUCAACACAGGAAGAGCACUAACUCUUGUAUAGCAGUGGCCAAGCACACUGGUGUGAAUGUUGCCUCAUAACUGGGAAACUGUGGACAAGUGACCUGGCCUGUUUGGACAUGAUUUCCUCCUUUGUAUGGGUACCUGGUCCCUCUAGCAGAGGAGGAAGUAAGGAUGACCACGGCUGACUUCUGAGGGAUGCCAAAUGAUGCUAGGCAUCGAGUAAGCCUGUUAUUGGCACUCUCCUGCCUCAGCCUCUUUAGGGGAGGCAGGAAUCACUGCCUGACUUUACAGAUUAGGAAACCAAUACCCUAAUGAGAACAGGUUUGCAAUGCCAGGCUUUUGACUUCAAACCCUGACUUGCCCCAUUUUGCAAGCCUGCAUUUCUAUGAGCACCCAGGAUCUUAACUAUGCAAUCCCUGAGAGACCCCAUAGCAGGCUCCUUGGCUUGAGUGCUUACCUCAAUCUGGCCUAUGGUCUCCUGGUACUCCUUGUCUCUCGUCUUGAAGAAGGAUUCGGUCUCAUGGAUCAAGUUGCCCAAGUUUUCUUCUUGCUGGGGGCACAGAAGGGAUAGUUUAGCUGGGGAUCAAAGGCUGCAUGCAAAGGAAAGAAUGAGGGAUCCUGUGAGAGAGGCACCCCCAGAGAAGGCAGGUCAUGGGCUCACCUCACCCUGCAGGUCAAUGGUUGGGUUACAGUUGGUAAAAUCCUCCCAUAGCAGCAGUGUGUCUUCAUUCUCUUCCCACGUCAGGCUGUCACAGUCGUCAUCAAAAUCAAAGGUCUCCCGCCUAUGGGUGACAUCAGGGCAUGAGUGAACAGAAGCCAGGCCCCUGGGGUGCAUACAGAGGAGAGAAAGGGGCACCUUUCCUAGUGAAUAUGCAAUUGUGGGAGAUCUCAGAAAGAUGGGUGGUAGGCAAAGAGUCAAUGCUUUAGUCUUUCAGAACAGAGUGUGUUUGUGCAAUUAGAAGUCUAGUUUUAGAUUAAGAAGGGAGUGAUGCUUGUGUGCAACCCCAGAAUUCAGGGGCAUGAGACAGGAGGAUCAAGUUCAAGGGCAGUCUGGGCUAUAUAGUGAGUUCCAAUCAGCUUGAGCUAUAGUAUAAAACCUUGUCUCAGAAAUCCCCAAGGGCUGGAGAGAAGGCUAGACUGUGAAGAGCACUCACUGCUCUUGUAGAGGACUGGAGAUCCGUUCCCAGCACUCACAUGGCAGCUUAAAACUGCUAACACUGGUUCCAGGGCCCCAGCAUCCUCCCCAGGACUCCACAGGCACUCCAUGCAUACAGGGCAUAGACACAUAUGCCGGCAAAGCACUCAUUCACAUCAAUAAAAUCCCCUCAAAGGGACUGGAGAGAUGUCUCAGCUUAAGGGCACUGACUGCUCUUCCAGAGGUCCUGAGUUCAAUUCCCAGCAAUCAUGUGAUGGCUCACAACCAUCUGUAAUGGGAUCUGAUGCCCUCUUCUGGUGUGUCUGAAGACAAAGACAGUGUACUCACAUCCGUAAAAUAAAUAAAUAACUUUUUAACAACC